rnacentral:rRNA from 1 species
UACGGGGGGGGGCAAGCGUUGUUCGGAAUUACUGGGCGUAAAGGGCUCGUAGGCGGCCAACUAAGUCAUACGUGAAAUCCCUCGGCUUAACCGGGGAACUGCGUCUGAUACUGGAUGGCUUGAGUUCGGGAGAGGGAUGCGGAAUUCCAGGUGUAGCGGUGAAAUGCGUAGAUAUCAGGAGGAACACCGGUGGCGAAGGCGGGUCUCUGGGCCGAUACUGACGCUGAGGAGCGAAAGCGUGGGGAGCGAACAGG